rnacentral:tRNA from 1 species
CGGGGUGUAGCUCAGUUGGUCAGAGUUCCAGUCUGGGGGACUGGCGGUCAGCGGUUCGAGUCCGCUCACCCCGA